GCUGGGCACAAUGGUACACAUCUGUAGUUCCAGCUACUCAGGAGGCUGAGGCAGGAGGAUCAUUUGAGUCCAGGAGUUCUGUGCUACAGUGUGCUAUGCCCAUCAAGUGUCUGCAUUAAGUUUGACAUUAAUAUGGUGACCUCCUGGGAGUGGGGGACCACCAGGUUGCCUAAGGAGGGGUGAACCAGCCCAUGUUAGAAACAGAGCAGGUCAAAACUUCUGUGUUUAUCAGUAGUGAGAUCAUGUCUGUGAGUAGCCACUGCACUCCAGCCCGGGCAACACAGAGAAACCCUGUCUCU
rnacentral:SRP_RNA from 1 species